GGCAGACGGGUGAGCAACAUGUACGUAUCUGCCCUUUGGCCUGGAAUAACAUGAGGAAACUUGUGCUAAUACCGGAUAAGUCUUUACGGAGAAAGCUUUAUGCACCAUUGGAUGAGCCUGCACUUGAUUAGUUUGUUGGUGGGGUAAUGGCCUACCAAGACUGUGAUCAAUAGCUGAUUUGAGAGGAUGAUCAGCCACAUUGGGACUGAGACACGGCCCAAACUCCUACGGGAGGCAGCAGUGGGGAAUCUUGCACAAUGGAUGAAACUCUGAUGCAGCGAUGCCGCGUGAGUGAAGAAGGCCCUUGGGUUGUAAAGCUCUUCCGUCGGGGAAGAAAAUGACUGUACCCGAAUAAGAAGGUCCGGCUAACUUCGUGCCAGCAGCCGCGGUAAUACGAAGGGACCUAGCGUAGUUCGGAAUUACUGGGCUUAAAGAGUUCGUAGGUGGUUGAAAAAGUUGGUAGUGAAAUCCCAGAGCUUAACUCUUGAACUGCCAUCAAAACUUUUCAGCUAGAGUAUGAUAGAGGAAAGCAGAAUUUCUAGUGUAGAGGUGAAAUUCGUAGAUAUUAGAAAGAAUACCAAUUGCGAAGGCAGCUUUCUGGAUCAUUACUGACACUGAGGAACGAAAGCAUGGGUAGCGAAGAGGAUUAGAUACCCUCGUAAUCCAUGCCGUAAACGAUGUGUGUUAGACGUUUGGAAAUUUAUUUUCAGUGUCGCAGCGAAAGCGAUAAACACAC
rnacentral:rRNA from 1 species